CUUCACCGAACCCAACAACAACGGCCCACCCACCGGCCGGUCCCGACCAUAGGUCGCCAGCAACGCACCCGCCUC
rnacentral:antisense_RNA from 1 species